UACGUAGGGUGCGAGCGUUAAUCGGAAUUACUGGGCGUAAAGCGUGCGCAGGCGGUUUUGUAAGCCAGAUGUGAAAGUCCCGGGCUUAACCUGGGAAUGGCAUUUGGGACUGCAAGGCUUGAGUGCGGCAGAGGAGACUGGAAUUCCCGGUGUAGCAGUGAAAUGCGUAGAUAUCAGGAGGAAUACCGAUGGCGAAGGCAGGUCUCUGGGCUGACACUGACGCUCAUGCACGAAAGCGUGGGGAGCAAACAGG
rnacentral:rRNA from 1 species